rnacentral:lncRNA from 1 species
UGGUCGAAGUCUCAGAAGAUGACAAGGAAAACAGGGGAAGGUAACUGAACCGUGAAACAAACCAAGUGAGACAGAGGGAGCAAGCACGAAGGGAAGACUUCUUCGUCAAGUACAGACCACCAUCACCUUUGGAUACAAUCGCAGCUGUCACGAACACCGUGAUUCGGAAGAUAAACAGAAGAAGACCGCCCAAGUGAGACUGAGGGAGAAGGCACGAAGGGAAGACUUCUUCGUCAAGAACGGACCGCCA